AUUUACUCUAUAAUUUCAUAUUUAUGACAACUGUAGUGCCAAAGACAACCUUUCAAUUAUGAGUGUGGCUACUUUAUAAUGAUACAUAUGUUGAACAUUGUAUCAGCUGGCAUUACCGACUCAUGGAAUAUGAUUUUUGGAGACGAAACUCCGUUUACUGAUGAUGAAAUGACAAAAGUUCAA